UCCUAUGCCAUGCUAAAAUGAUUUAUUUCAUAACUAAAUAACCGUAACUCGGAAUUUAAUAAACUUUAUAUGUAAAUGGGGUGGAAAAAUGCCUAGUUUAACAUGGUGCACUUUUCUUGCAUGUUUAAUAACUCUAAAAUUGUGUUUAGUACAGAUCGGUACCAAAUCUAUAAUAUGCUCAUGAGGAGUUCCCGGACUUGUUGUUUUGUUGCUCCGGCCUCAUUUAAACUUGCCUAGAUAGGUAGUUUUCAUUUGCUUCACCCCCUUGCCAUGUUAAUCAACAUUUAAUAUUGUUGGGUACAUAAACGAGAUCGAACUAAAUAACUUGAACGUGGUGUUUCGUCAAUAUGCAACGGGGUUGCAUGUUGAUCUCCACUUAAUUUGUAGGGUUGUUUGUGCAUUUUGCCAUGCCAUGCCUCAUUAAACCGGACAUGCAUCAUACUUGAUUGUGCAUCAUGCCAUGAUUAUGUGGUGGUUGUUUACUAUGUUGUUUGCUUUCUUUCCGGUGUUGCUUCUUCGGGUUGGUUCCCAUAACUUCGUGUUUGUGAGGACCCGUUCGUCUACGUCCGUUUGUCUUCUUCAUGGACUCGUUCUUCUUCCUUGCGGGAUCUCAGGCAAGAUGACCAUACCCUCGAAAUCACUUCUAUCUUUGCUUCCUAGAUGCUCGCUCUUUUGCUAUGCCUAUGCUGCGAUACCUACCACUUGCUUAUCAUGCCUCCCAUAUUGUUAAGCCAAGCCUCUAACCACCUUGUCCUAGCAAACCGUUGUUUGGCUAUGUUACCGCUUUGCUCAGCCCCUCUUAUAGCGUUGUUAGUUGUAGGUGAAGAUUGGAGUUUGUUCCAGGUUUGGAACAUGGAUAUUUUAUUGGGAUAUCACAAUAUCUCUUAUUUAAUUAAUGCAUCUAUAUACUUGGUAAAGGGUGGAAGGCUCGACCUUAUGCCUGGUGUUUUGUUCCACUCUUGCCACCCUAGUUUCCGUCAUAUCGGUGUUAUGUUCCCGGAUUUUGCGUUCCUUACGCGGUUGGGUUAUAAUGGGAACCCCUUAACAGUUCGCUUUGAAUAAAACUCCUCCAGCAAGGCCCAACCUUGGUUUUACCAUUCGCCACCUAGCCUUUUUCCCUUGGGAGUCGCGCAUCCCGAGGGUCAUCUUUAUUUUAACCCCCCGGGCCAGUGCUUGUGUAAGUGUUGGUCCAAACUAGAGCCCCUUGCAGCGCCACCUCGGGGAAACUCAAGGGCUGGUUUUAGUUGUACGGAUUGCUUAUCCGGUGUUGCCCUGAGAAUGAGAUAUGUGCAGCUCCUAUCGGGAUGUCGGCGCAUCGGGUGGUCUUGCUGGACUUGUUUUACCAUUGUCGAGGAUGUCUUGUAACCGGGAUUCCGAGCCUGAUCGGGUCUUCCCGCUAGAAGGAAUAUCCUUCGUUGACCGUGAGAGCUUGUGAUGGGCUAAGUUGGGACACCCCUGCAGGGUUUUGAACUUUUGAAAACUGUGCCCGCAGUUAUGGGCAGAUGGGAAUUUGUUAAUGUCCGGUUGUAGAGAACUUGAAACUUAACUUAAUUAAAAUGCACCAACCGCGUGUGUUACCAUGAUGGUCUCUUCUUGGCGGGGUCCGGGAAGUGAAAACGGUGUUGGAGUUAUGCUUGACGUAGGUUGCUCUAGGAUCACUUCUUGAUCAUCGAUUCUCGACCGUGCUUUUGCCUUCUCUUCUCGCUCUUAUUUGCAUAUGUUAGCCACCAAAUAUGCUAGUCGCAUGCUGCAGCUCCACUUCAUACCUUUUACCCUUCCUAUAAGCUUAAAUAGUCUUGAUCGCGAGGGUGUGAGAUUGCUGAGUCUCCGUGACUCACAGAUACUUCCAAAACCAGUGUGCAGGUGCCAAUGAUACCGUGUAGGUGAUGCAACCGAGCUCAAGGAGGAGCUCGAUGAAGAUCGUGUUCGUUAUGUUAUUUCCAUUUCCAGUUGAUCAGUAGUGGAGCCCAAUUGGGACGAUCGGGGAUCUGUGUAGCAUUUGGGGUAGUCUUCUUUUAUUUUGGUUCCGUAGUCGGACCUUGAGUGUAUUUGGAUGAUGUAAUGCUUUAUUCAUGUAAUUGUGUGAAGUGGCGAGUGUAAGCCAACUAUGUAUCUUUUCCCUUAUUGUAUUACAUGGGUUGUUUGCGAAGAUUACCUCACUUGCGACAUUGCU
rnacentral:lncRNA from 1 species